rnacentral:lncRNA from 1 species
UGUGUCCCCAUCUCCCGUCCCGUACCUGUCUCAGGGCUGUGUCCCCCUCUCCCGUCCCGUACCUGUCUCACGGCUGUGUCCCCCAGCGCUCGCUUCCCGCCGCGGGGGCAGUUCUGGAUGUAGCAGGCGGAGGAGAGGGCGAGGAGGCAGAGGAAGGAGAGGGGCAGCGAAGGCUCGGCCAUGGUGCAGGGGAAGCUGCUCCGGCUCUCUGGCCCCGUGCUGAGAGCGCCGCUAUUUAUGCAGCCAUCACCCCUUCCCCGGGGAGGAGGAGGAGGAAGAAGAGGGGUGGGUUGGGUUUUUUUGUUGUUUUUCCUUUUUUUUUUUUCCUAUUUUUUUCUUUUUUUUUUUUUUUUUUCUCCCAAAUCGCAUCCAAGCAAAUCUGUAACUGAGAUGAUUCAGAGCAGCAGCACUCGGGGCUGGUGAAUCCCACCCUUGGCUGCUCCAAGGGCACAGGCCAGCCCUGGAUGGGCUUGGGAGGGUUCAGGGAGAGGUGAUCCUUCAGAAGGUCGGGUUUGGGGAGGGAUGGGGGUUUGGAAGAGGCAUUUUGGGGAGGGAUGUGGAUUUGGAGACAGAUGUUCAUUCAGGAGAUACGAUUUUGGGAAGGUUUUUGUAUGGGGGUGAUGCUGGUUUGGGAUGGAUGUGGAUUUUGGGAUGCAGAUUUUGGGAUGGAUCUGGGUUUGGGGACAGAUGUUUGUUCAGGAGAUGUGGUUUUGGGAAAGAUGCAGAUUUUGGGAUGGAUCUGGGUUUGGGGACAGAUGUUUGUUCAGGAAAUGUGGGUUUGGGAAAGAUGCAGAUUUUGGGAGGGUUUUGGUUUGGAAGUGAUGCUGGUUUGGGAUGGAUGCAGAUUUUGGGAUGCACUCUGGGGAGGGAUGUGGGUUUAGGGACAGAUGUUUGUUCAGGAGAUGUGGGUUUGGGAAAGAUGCAGAUUUUGGGAAGGUUUUGGUUUGGGGGUGAUGCUGGUGUGGGAUGGAUGCAGAUUUUGGGAGAGGUGCUGGUUUCAGAGAGAUGCUGCUCUGGGAGCAGUGCUGAUUUGGGCAGGGAUAAGGGUUUGGAAGGUGCUGCUUUAGAGAGGGUUGUUUAUCUGGAGGAUUCUGAUUUGGGAUUGAUGCCGGCUUGGAAGGAUGCUGAUUUUCGGAGAGGUGCCGGUUUGGGAAGGGAUGCUGCUCUGAAGGGGGGAUGGUUUGGGAAGUGGUGUUUGUUGGGAGCAUGCUGGCCCAGGAGGGAUGCUGCUUUGAGGGAUGCUGAUGUAGGGAGGGUUGCUGAUUUUGGGAAGGGAUGCUG